rnacentral:rRNA from 1 species
AAAUUGAAGAGUUUGAUCAUGGCUCAGAUUGAACGCUGGCGGCAGGCCUAACACAUGCAAGUCGAACGGUAACAGGAAGCAGCUUGCUGCUUCGCUGACGAGUGGCGGACGGGUGAGUAAUGUCUGGGAAACUGCCUGAUGGAGGGGGAUAACUACUGGAAACGGUGGCUAAUACCGCAUAACGUCGCAAGACCAAAGAGGGGGACCUUCGGGCCUCUUGCCAUCAGAUGUGCCCAGAUGGGAUUAGCUUGUUGGUGAGGUAACGGCUCACCAAGGCGACGAUCCCUAGCUGGUCUGAGAGGAUGACCAGCCACACUGGAACUGAGACACGGUCCAGACUCCUACGGGAGGCAGCAGUGGGGAAUAUUGCACAAUGGGCGCAAGCCUGAUGCAGCCAUGCCGCGUGUAUGAAGAAGGCCUUCGGGUUGUAAAGUACUUUCAGCGGGGAGGAAGGUGUUGUGGUUAAUAACCACAGCAAUUGACGUUACCCGCAGAAGAAGCACCGGCUAACUCCGUGCCAGCAGCCGCGGUAAUACGGAGGGUGCAAGCGUUAAUCGGAAUUACUGGGCGUAAAGCGCACGCAGGCGGUCUGUCAAGUCGGAUGUGAAAUCCCCGGGCUCAACCUGGGAACUGCAUUCGAAACUGGCAGGCUUGAGUCUUGUAGAGGGGGUAGAAUUCCAGGUGUAGCGGUGAAAUGCGUAGAGAUCUGGAGGAAUACCGGUGGCGAAGGCGGCCCCCUGGACAAAGACUGACGCUCAGGUGCGAAAGCGUGGGGAGCAAACAGGAUUAGAUACCCUGGUAGUCCACGCCGUAAACGAUGUCUACUUGGAGGUUGUGCCCUUGAGGCGUGGCUUCCGGAGCUAACGCGUUAAGUAGACCGCCUGGGGAGUACGGCCGCAAGGUUAAAACUCAAAUGAAUUGACGGGGGCCCGCACAAGCGGUGGAGCAUGUGGUUUAAUUCGAUGCAACGCGAAGAACCUUACCUGGUCUUGACAUCCACGGAAGUUUUCAGAGAUGAGAAUGUGCCUUCGGGAACCGUGAGACAGGUGCUGCAUGGCUGUCGUCAGCUCGUGUUGUGAAAUGUUGGGUUAAGUCCCGCAACGAGCGCAACCCUUAUCCUUUGUUGCCAGCGAUUAGGUCGGGAACUCAAAGGAGACUGCCAGUGAUAAACUGGAGGAAGGUGGGGAUGACGUCAAGUCAUCAUGGCCCUUACGACCAGGGCUACACACGUGCUACAAUGGCGCAUACAAAGAGAAGCGACCUCGCGAGAGCAAGCGGACCUCAUAAAGUGCGUCGUAGUCCGGAUUGGAGUCUGCAACUCGACUCCAUGAAGUCGGAAUCGCUAGUAAUCGUGGAUCAGAAUGCCACGGUGAAUACGUUCCCGGGCCUUGUACACACCGCCCGUCACACCAUGGGAGUGGGUUGCAAAAGAAGUAGGUAGCUUAACCUUCGGGAGGGCGCUUACCACUUUGUGAUUCAUGACUGGGGUGAAGUCGUAACAAGGUAACCGUAGGGGAACCUGCGGUUGGAUCACCUCCUUA